GACGAACGCUGGCGGCGUGCUUAACACAUGCAAGUCGAACGGAAAGGCCCUGCUUUUGUGGGGUGCUCGAGUGGCGAACGGGGGAGUAACACGUGAGUAACCUGCCCUUGACUUUGGGAUAACUUCAGGAAACUGGGGCUAAUACCGGAUAGGAGCUCCUGCUGCAUGGGGGGGGAUGGAAAGUUUCGGCGGUUGGGGAUGGACUCGCGGUUUAUCAGCUUGUUGGUGGGGUAGUGGCUUACAGAGGCUUUGACGGGUAGCCGGCCUGAGAGGGUGACCGGCCACAUUGGGACUGAGAUACGGGCAAGACGGCUACGGGAGGCAGCAGUGGGGGAUAUUGCACAAUGGGCGGAAGCCUGAUGCAGGAACGCCGCGUGCGGGAUGACGGCCUUCGGGUUGUAAACCGCUUGCGCCUGUGACGAAGCGUGAGUGACGGUAAUGGGUAAAGAAGCACCGGCUAACUACGUG
rnacentral:rRNA from 1 species